CAUUCAUCUACAAAUUCAAAAAAAAAAAAAAACUUUUUCUUCUCUAAAUAUCUCUUAAUUUCUUCUUGAUUAUUAUUCCACCUCCUUUUUUGAGCAAAAUACAAUUUUUUUUUUAUUAAUUUGAAGAUGAAUUCAGUGAGAUUAUUGAAUUUCUCAUUUAUAAUUAUUAGUUUCAUGUUUAUGGCACUUGUUGAAUUCAGUUUUGGACAAAGCAUGGCUCCUUCUUCUGCUCCUCCUCCUUCCAAUGAUGGCACAACAAUUGAUCAAGGGAUUGCUUAUGUUCUUCUACUUGUUGCCCUUGCAAUUACCUACUUGGUCCAUUAAUUCACUCAUAUUGGAGUUUUGUUAUAUUUAGCUAAUUAAUUUAUUCUUUCAUAAUAUAAAUUAUUUAUGUAUUUUUCUCCUAUAUUCAAAAUGGAGAAAUUUCCAAUUUUUUUGUGAGUAAAUGAAAUAAGGAAUGGUUACAUAUUAUUUGUGAUA